rnacentral:rRNA from 1 species
GUUGAACGCUGGCGGCAGGCCUAACACAUGCAAGUCGAGCGGUAGAGAGAAGCUUGCUUCUCUUGAGAGCGGCGGACGGGUGAGUAAUGCCUAGGAAUCUGCCUGGUAGUGGGGGAUAACGUUCGGAAACGGACGCUAAUACCGCAUACGUCCUACGGGAGAAAGCAGGGGACCUUCGGGCCUUGCGCUAUCAGAUGAGCCUAGGUCGGAUUAGCUAGUUGGUGAGGUAAUGGCUCACCAAGGCGACGAUCCGUAACUGGUCUGAGAGGAUGAUCAGUCGCACUGGAACUGAGACACGGUCCAGAAUCCUACGGGAGGCAGCAGUGGGGAAUAUUGGACAAUGGGCGAAAGCCUGAUCCAGCCAUGCCGCGUGUGUGAAGAAGGUCUUCGGAUUGUAAAGCACUUUAAGUUGGGAGGAAGGGCAGUUACCUAAUACGUAAUUGUUUUGACGUUACCGACAGAAUAAGCACCGGCUAACUCUGUGCCAGCCGCCGCCGUAA